GGCACUGCGUUCAUCCACCACUGGCCUGCUGGCCCCCCUACCUCUGAGGAAGCACAGUUCCCGCUCAGCCCAGUCAAAACUGUUCGCUGCUCUGGCACCCCAAUGGUGGAACAAGCUCCCUCACGACGCCAGGACAGCGGAGUCAAUCACCACCUUCCGGAGACACCUGAAACCCCACCUCUUUAAGGAAUACCUGGGAUAGGAUUAAGUAAUCCUUCUAACCCCCCCCUUAAAAGAUUUAGAUGCACUAUUGUAAAGUGGUUGUUCCACUGGAUAUCAUAAGGUGAAUGCACCAUUUUGUAAGUCGCUCUGGAUAAGAGCGUCUGCUAAAUGACUUAAAUGUAAAUGUAAAUGAACUGGACAAAGAAUUGUUCUGUAAUGAGUCGGACGAGAGGAAUUUACUCCAGACACCCAACAAGGCCCUCUUCCCCAUCAUUCGCAGCAGAAAGAGACAGAGAUAUUGCGGAAGGAGGUUGGGGUGUCUUGUAAGGAUCCGGCGACAAGUGGCUAAUCUGCCUUUACCAUCGGAAAUAUUGGCCAACGUACAAUCAUUGGAUAAUAAAGUGGACAAACUACAAGCACGUAUAUACUAGCAACAGGACAUUCAAAACUGUAAUAUCUUAUGUUUCACCGAGUUGUGGCUGAACGACAACAUGAAUAACAUGGGUUAUACACUAUAUCGGCAGGAUAGAACAUCAGCCUCUGGUAAGACACGGGGAUGCGGUCUAUGUAUAUUAGUAAACAACAUCUAGUGCACGAUAUCAAAGGAAGUCUCAAGGUUUUGCUCACAUGAGAUAGUGUGGUCUACAGCUUAUCAUGAGAGUUUUCAUCUAUAUUCUUCGUGGCUGUCUUUUUACCACCACCAACCGAAGCUGGCACUAAGACCGCACUCAAUGAGCUGAAUACCGCCAUAAUGUCACGCCCUGACCAUAGAGAGCCCUUGGUUCUCUAUGGUGUAGUAGGUUGGGGCGUGACUAGGGGGUGUUCUAGUUCAUUAUUUCUAUGUUGGUGUUUUGUAUGGUUCCCAAUUAGAGGCAGCUGGUAAUCGUUGCCUCUAAUUGGGGAUCAUAUUUAGGUAGCCUUUUUCCCACUUGUUUUGUGGGAUAUUGUUUGGUUUUGUGCUUGUUGCACCACGUAGUCACGUUUUGUUGCUUGUUAGUUGUUUUGUUGAAGAAGUUACACAUUAAAUAAAUAUGUGGACCUCAACACACGCUGCGCCUUGGUCCAUCUCUUACAACAAACAUGACACAUAAACAAACAAAAAAGGGCUCAACCAGAAGCAGCGUUCCAAGGGGCCGGGGACUUUAAUGCAGGGACACUUAAAUCAAUUUGACCUUAUUUCUACCAGCAUGUUAAAUGUGCAACCAGAGGGAAAAAAACUCUAGACCACCUUCACUCCAGGAUGAGAUAGUGAAGGCUUUGUGCUCAUAAACAAAGCUCUCCCUCGCGUACCAAGCUCUCCUUCACCCUCUAUUUGGCAAAUCUGACCACAAUUAUAUCUUCCUGAUUUCCUCCUUACAAGAAAGAAACAUCUGUACUGAGCUACAGGGUAGAGCUGCUGCUUUCAAGGAGCGGGACUCUAACCUGGAAGUUUAUAAGAAAUCCUGCUAUGCCCUACGACAAACGAUCAAGCAGGUAAAGCGUCAAUACAGGACUAAGAUCGAAUCGUACUACACCACCUCCGAUGCUCGUCUGACGUGGCAGGGCUGGCAAACUAUUACAGAUUACAAAGGGAAGCACAGCUGCGAGCUACCCAGUGACACGAGCCUACCAGAUGAGCUAAAUUACUUCUAUGCUCGCUUCAUGGCAAGUAACACUGAAACAUGCAUGAGAGCAUCAGCUGUUUCAGACAACUGAUCACGCUCUCCUUAGCUGAUGUGAGUAAGACCUUUAAACAGGUCAACAUUCACAAAGCGCAGAGCCAGACGGAUUACCAGGACGUGUACUCCGAGCAUGGGCUGACCAACUGGCAAGUGUCUUCACUGACAUUUUCAACCUCUGUCUGAGUCUGUAAUACCAACAUGUUUCAAGCAGACUACCAUAGUCCCUGUGCCCAAGAACACUAAGGUAACCUGUCUAAAUGACUACCGACCCAUAGCACUCACGUCUGUAGCCAUGAAGUGCUUUGAAAGGCUGGUCAUGGAUCACAUCAAUACCAUUAUCCCAGAAACCCUAAACCCACUCCAAUUUGCAUACCGGCCCAACAGAUCUACAGAUGAUGCAAUCUCUAUUGCACUCUAUUGUAAUCUCUAUUGUAGUUUGUCCAAUUUAUUAUCCAGUGAUUGUACGUUGGUGUCACGAUUCCCACCGACGGUGGCGCCCCCUCCUGCUCGGGUGGCGCUCGGCGGUCGUCGUCACCGGCCUAUUAGCUGCCACCGAUUCCCUUUUGCUUUUCCCUUUUUUUAUUUUGUGACACCUGUGGUCAAUUAGCCAUUAGAGGGGCUAUUUAUUUAGCUGGCCCGCUCCUGUUCGUGCGGGAUUAAUGAUUGUUUCUUGUGUGACGGCUUGUGUUCAUGUCGACGUUGUUGUACGCCGCAUGUAUUUUCUCCCCUGUGUGUGGGAACAUUAGUUUUUUUUGGUGAGUGUAUAUUAAAAACACCACUACCCUGUGUUCGCUGGUUCCUGCGCCUCAUUCCUCCUCCACAAUUACCAAGCCCUAACAGUUGGCCAAUAGUACCGAUGGCGAAGGCAGAUUAGGCACUCGUCGGCGGAUCCUCACAAGGCACCUCGAUCUCCUUCCGCAAUACCUUUUCAGUCUCUUUCUCCUGCGAAUGACGGGGAAGAACGUGACACCCUUUGUCAUUGUUGUUAAUUUUCUUAGGUUGUCUGCUUGAAAUGUUUAGAUUUGAUAGGAAAGCUGAGAGGUCAAAUAUACUGUUUAGGUUUUCUCCUACCAAGUUUACGCCUUCACUAUUGCAGUGAAACAUUUUGUUGAGGAAGUUGUCUAAAAAGGCUUGAAUUUGUUGUUGCCUAAUUGUUUUUUGGUAGGUUUCCACACUACUUUCCUUCCAUCUAUAGUAAAACUCUAUAGAAACAUCAGUUUUUCAGAACCCUGUCUUUCAAAGAUAAUUCGUAAAAAUCCAAAUAACUUCACAGGUCUUCAUUGUAAAGGGUUUAAGCACUGUUUCCCAUGCUUGUUCAAUGAACCAUAAACAAUUAAUGAACAUGCACCUGUGGAACGGUCCUUAACAGCUUAUAGACAGUAGGCAAUUAAGGUCACAGUUAUGAAAACUGACUCUGAAAAACAACUAAAGAAAGAUGCCCAGGGUCCCUGCCCAUCUGAGUGAACGUGCCUUAGGCAUGCUGCAAGGAGGCAUGAGGACUGCAGAUGUGGCCAGGGCAAUAAAUUGCAAUGUCUGUACUGUGAGACGCCUAAGAUAGGGCUACAGGGAGACAGGACGGACAGCUGAUCAUCCAUGCAGUGGCAGACCACAUGUAACAAGACCUGCACAGGGUUGGUACAUCUGAACAUCACACCUGCGGGACAGGUACAGGACGGCAACAACAACUGCCCGAGUUACACCAGGAACGCACAAUCCCUCCAUCAGUGCUUAGACUGUCCGCAAUAGGCUGAGAGAGGCUGAACUGAGGGUUUGUAGGCCUGUUGUAAGGCAGGUCCUCACCAGACAUCAUCGGCAACAACGUCGCCUAUGGGCACAAACCCACCGUCUCUGGACCAGACAGGAAUCUGGUGCAGUCCAUGAGGAGGAGAUGCACUGCAGUACUUAAUGCAGCUGGUGGCCCUCCCCUUUGUUCAGGAACACAUUAUUCUAUUUCUGUUAGUCACAUGUCUGUGGAACUUGUUCAGUUUAUGACUCAGUUGUUGAAUCUUGUGUAAAUAUUUGUAUGAACAUAACAUGUUAAGUUUGCUGAAAAUAAAAUAAACGAGGUUGACAGUGAGAGGACGUUUCUUUUUUGCUGAGUUUAUUUAUAUUAUUCAGUUCCUUUGGCUUUGAUGCCUCAUGAUUCAGUAUUGCUCUGUUCAAGUAGACUGUGAUUUUGCUGUGAUCUGAUAGGGGUGUCAGUGGGCUGACUGUGAAUGCUCUGGGAGACUCU
rnacentral:lncRNA from 1 species